rnacentral:ncRNA from 1 species
GAGAGCCGGAUACCUUGAGAGGGGUAUGUCCGGUCGGAGGGGAGGAUUUGGAAACCUAUACCGGAAACGGGACAAGGCGCUGGGUCCUUACCCUAC